CCUACGGGUGGCAGCAGUGGGGAAUAUUGGACAAUGGGGGCAACCCUGAUCCAGCCAUGCCGCGUGUGUGAAGAAGGCCCUCGGGUUGUAAAGCACUUUCAGUGAGGAAGAACGCCUGGUGGUUAAUACCCAUCAGGAAAGACAUCACUCACAGAAGAAGCACCGGCUAACUCCGUGCCAGCAGCCGCGGUAAUACGGAGGGUGCGAGCGUUAAUCGGAAUUACUGGGCGUAAAGCGCGCGUAGGUGGCUUGAUAAGCCGGUUGUGAAAGCCCCGGGCUCAACCUGGGAACGGCAUCCGGAACUGUCAAGCUAGAGUGCAGGAGAGGAAGGUAGAAUUCCCGGUGUAGCGGUGAAACGCGUAGAGAUCGGGAGGAAUACCAGUGGCGAAGGCGGCCUUCUGGACUGACACUGACACUGAGGUGCGAAAGCGUGGGUAGCAAACAGGAUUAGAUACCCCAGUAGUC
rnacentral:rRNA from 1 species